AUAGUGGUGCCUGGGUGGCUCAGUUAAGCAUCCAACUUCGGCUCAGGUCAUGAUCUCCCGAUUUGUGAGUUCGAGCCCCACAUCAGACUCUGUGCUGACAGCUCAGAGCCUGGAGCCUGUUUUAGAUUCUGUGUCUCCCUCUCUCUCUGCCCCUCCCCUGCUCGUGCUCUGUCUCUGUCUCUCAAAAAUAAAUAAAUAUUUUUUUUUAAUUUUUUAAUGAAUAUAUAGAUCAAUGUGAAUUUUUCUUACCUCCUGCCCCUUUCCCAAGCAACCAACUGGACCACAGUUUUUUGUCAUUUUCAUAGGGACCCAUUUCAGCCUUUGUUGAAUGUUUGUGUUGAUACUAGAGGAAAUUUCUUACUACUCUCGAAGUUCUGUUUCAUGUUGUUUCAGUCAUUGGGUUUUGCUUUAGUACUGGUUUUUUGGUCCCCCCCACCCCCACUGCAGCCAGAAUGACUAUGUUAUCACCUAAAAGUGUCCCCUCCAACAGGGGUGUGCUGGUUUUUCUAAAACAUAUAAAUACAAGAUGCCCAGUUUAAUUUAAAUUUCAGAUCAACAAUGAAUACAUUUUUUAGCAUAAGUAUAUCCCCAAUGCUUUGUGGACCAAACUCACACUGAGAAAUUAUGGGUUGUUGAUCUAAAAUUCAAAUGUACCUGGGUGACCUGGAUUUAGGCUGGCAGGCCUACCUCAGGAGCUGGGUGUGGCCUAGAGGGUACUUCUGCAUCCUCAGGAAGAAGUUUUAUUCCCACCAGAGGCCCAAGCUGAGGCACUGAAGGAAAAGAGAGAGGCCCCAUAUAUUCCUGGAAUGGGGACAGAAUAUGGCUGUCUGAAAGCAAGGAAUGGGUUUGGUCAUGUGGGAUUCUGAAUCUUGCCGCCUCUGCAAGGGACCACCCAAGCAGGCUGUCCUCUCGUCUGAGGACUUAUUCUGAUUUAGUGCCAACCACAGAUCUGGUUAGAAGAGACCAACUACCUGCAUGUUAAUGUUUGAUAUGCUUGUACAUUUCAAAUCGAUAAGCAGCAAGUGGUGGUCAAACACACCCUCUUCUUUGGUGAGGUCAGUGUGUGACCCCAUGAAAGGAAAAUUUUGCUUUCAUGUAAUAACUUGAGAUUGGUUUAUUUUAUCCCAAAGCUUUUUGCAAUCAAAUAAAGCUGAUUUUUGAAGCAGGAUAAGAAGUAAUAAGUACCACAAAGCUCAUGAGUGUGUUGUUGUAGUCAUUUUUUCAGCUUUCACUGUUACACAAAAUCCCAUUCACUGGAACCAGGAUUCCAUACCAUCUGCCCCCUGGGAAACUCUGAUAAUCUGCUGGCCUAAAAGGUCCAGGUAUCUGAAAGUGGCAGGUCAGCGAGGUUUUACAAAGGCCUGUCUGAAGACAGUUUACAACUUACCCUUUUCCAAGAUUCAGCCAAUUCUUUAUUCAACAAAUAUUUAUUAAAUGGCUACUUUGUGCCAUGCACUGGGGAUGCAGGAGUGAACAAGACAAAAUUUCAGACUUCAUGGUGCUUCCAUUCUAGAGGACAAGACAACAAGCCUCUGUACAGAUGCUCUCCUGCCUCCCAUAGAGAAGUCUUCUGUCUCACGUGGAAAGCAUUCCUUGACACUACUGUUGCACCAGCUGGUUAAGGAAACUGCAGCCCAGGGAGAGAGAAUGAGGUGCACCAUAUCACAGAGCUUGAAUGUGACAGAGUUGGGAUUUGAAUUCAGGGAAUCUAACUCCAACGCCAAGAGUAAGUUGGGACAGGAAAAUGUUUGGCUCUAAGUGAAGUACUGUAAAUGUGAAGUAAGAUGUUAACUGAAACUCGGUCACAGUACUCAGCCAAUACCAGACUCCCUUCUUUCAAACCUCUGUUUUCCCAGAGAGGGUUCUGCGUGUCUUGGAAAAGGCCUUGCUCCGGGGGUCAGGCACCGUGACCUGCAGUGGACUCACCGCGAGAGAGCACCCAGGACCAUGAAGGGCAGUCAGCAGGCUAGAAAGAGUGCAGCAAACAGAAACUGUGAGGGCUGAGGCCCCAGGAGAGCUCUGCACAGAUUUAAACUCCCCUUAGGAAUUCAUCCUUCUUCCCAGACCUCCACUCAUUGGAGCAACUUUAUUUAAUGUUACCUGUAGCUUUGCUUCUGGGAUGCCAUUGUAGCCAGCCUGCUUACCAAAAAGAGGGUUUUGUGACAUCUAGUAGGGUGAGACUCCUGGGCUUCUCAGUGGGAACCUAAAGCUAAUUAAAGAAUGAGGCACUAAAGGGGCACCUGGGUGGCUCAGUCGGUUGAACCUCCAACUUUAGCUCAGGUCAUAAUCUCACAGUUCAUGAGUUUGAGCCCCACGUUGGGCUCUGUGCUGAUGUCUCAGAGCCUGGAGGCUGCUUCAGAUUCUGUGUCUCCCUCUCUGUCUGCCCUUCCCCGCUCAUGCUCUGUCUCUCCUUCAAAAAGAAAUAAACAUUAAAAAAAAUGAGAUACAUUAAAAAGAAAAAAAAAUGUUAAUAGGCUUUACAUCCAGUGCAGAACCCAACACAGGGCUUGAACUCACAACCCUGAGAUCAUGACCUGAGCUGAGAUCAAAAGUUGGACACUUAACUGACUGAGCCACCCAGGUGCCCUGAGACACAUUUUAAAAUCUUAGUCCUGCUCAUAUUAUAUUGAUCCAUCACCUCAAAUUUUAAUAAAAAUUUAAUAUCCAACUUUGACUAGGUUACCUUGAAUUUGAGUUCCACUAAACUGAAUCAAACUUAUAUAGAGAAUUAGUAACUGUUACUGAAUCAUAUGAACUUGACUGAAUUCGAAUGUUUCUUUUCGCUAGAAUUGGUUAUUUGGUCAAGUUUAAUGUUGUUUUGUUUGCUUUUUAAAGCAGUCUUGCCGAGGCUCUCAAGCACUCACUAUGUGUCAGGCUCUGUGCUAGGCGCUGGUGAAUCAAAGCAACAUGAUUUGUCCCCCAGAAGCAGACUAAAGAUUCUUGUGAAAAUGAUUUCUUAAUGCAGUGUUCCCGGGAGACCCUCGUAAAGCAGAGGGUGGGGUUGGGGGGCAGGAGGAUAGAACUAGUAAAGGAAGAAGGCAAGCCAGGUGGCGCUCUCAGGCAAAACUCCAGUCUCCGGCAGUUCCUGCAGGGAGCUCUGGAGGGUAACUACACCUCCAAGUUGUGUCCUACUCAAGAGGAAGGAGUAGGCUUUCCUAGUCCUGUGUUAGCACUCACUGGCUACAGGCCACACCCCUCCCCCCCCCCCCCCACCGCGUCUCCCCACCACCCCCGCUCAGCCCCCAGGAUGGAAACACUCAGGCUUUUCUGUCUCCCUGCACCGAGGAAAGCCUUGACUAAUCCUGACCCAGGCUCUACUGUUAGCAGCAAAGGUUUAAGGCAGCUAAGGGAGGGGAGCACAGAAACAGAAGAAGGAUGGGAGGGCAGCUGGGCAGAGCAUGGACCAGGCUACCACCUACUCCUUACAGAGUUUGUCAUCUACUGGGUUGGCCCAAGGGAGCCACGACAAGAAAACAGGUAACUAUGUCAUUAUUGUAUGUGAUGAGUGCACAUGGGCAAUGAACAGAGUGUGAUUUUUAGAGACUAACCAGUGAGUAUCUAGUUGGAAUGGUCGCCAGAGGUGGACAUUGUCAACCCGCAGGCAUCCUUUACCCUUUGCUCUUCUCUCCUCUCCCCCAUGGCUUUCAAUGGAACUGCCAUCUGACCACCCUGAGGGGAUAUAUAUGAGGACCAAAGUUCUAAGAAUGGCUGGGUAGAAGGGUAGAACCAUCCCUUGUCUCUGGUGGCAUCAUGGAGCCAGUGUACCAUCCUGGAUAGUCACCUUCAGACUUCUUUUUUGUGCGGAAAACAAAACUCCUGUUUGUUGAAGCCAGAGGAAAUCGGAUUUUUCUGUUACGUGCAGCCGAAUUUAUUUAUACACACACACACACACACACACACACACACACACAAACACACACACGUGUGUGUGUGUGUAUAUAUAUUCUUUUUGGGUUGUUUUUGUUGUUGUUGAGAGAGAGAGAGAGCACGUGUGCAUUUGCUCUAGCAGGGGAAGGGGGAGGGGGAAAAGGGAGAGAGAAAAUCAUAAGUAGGCUGCACCCCCAACCCAGGGAAGAGCUGACUUGGGGCUCUCUCAUGACUGUGAGAUCACAACCUGAGUGGAAAUCAAGAGUCUGAUACUUAACCGACUGAGCCACCCAUGCACCCCACAGCCAGAUUUAUUCUUAAGUAGCUCCCAAGCCUUGGAGGAGGGGUUGACCUUCUAGAGAUCAAUUUCACAGGAAGGAAGAAGCAGAGGUAAAUACAGAAAUAGGUUGGAAGACUUCUGACACUAACUUCUCUACAGCUGGAUAUAGCAUUAUUAUGACACUUUAAUAUAGCGGUUAUCAGCAGAGUAAGUACAAUAAGGUGAUAUAUUAUCUUUGUGGGAAUCUUCACCUGCAGUAAUGGGUUCAUUGAACCGGGGCUUUCCCAGCAUCAGCACAAUUAACGUUUGGGGCCAGAUCAUUCCUUUCUGUAGGAAAGGAAUCCUUAUAGGAUGUUUACCAGCGUGCCUGGCUUCUACCCUCUGGUGGCUGGUAGCACCCCCUCACCCUAGGUGUUGACAAACAAAAAAGUCUCCAGGCAUUACAGAAUGUCCUCUGGGGGGGAAGAGGGAGAGGCAAAGUCACACCCAGUUGAAAGCUUUUUUCUUUCAAAUAGCUAUUUAGUUUCAAUAGCUACGUAAUUUUAUCUACAAACUUUACAAUUAAUGAUAAAUUAUAUUUAAACUACAGGAAAGCAAUCUUGCUUUGUGAAGAAAGCAAUCUUUUGAUCCUUUAGGCCUACCUUCUUUUAAGUAAACAUUGAAAACAGAAUCUGCAUUUAGCAAAAAAAAAAAAAAAAAGAAUAGUAAUACAAAUCACAGAAGAAACUCUUUAAGCAUGCCUUCCGUUAAGUCAUUUUUCACCAUGUACCUCAGUUUCCAAA